CUACGGGCGGCAGCAGUGAGGAAUAUUGCACAAUGGAGGAAACUCUGAUGCAGCAACGCCGCGUGGAGGAUGACGCAUUUCGGUGUGUAAACUCCUUUUAUAUGUCAAGAAAAUGACGGUAGCAUAUGAAUAAGCACCGGCUAACUCCGUGCCAGCAGCCGAGGUAAUAUGGAGGGUGCAAGCGUUACUCGGAAUCACUGGGCGUAAAGGACGCGUAGGCGGGAUAUCAAGUCAGGUGUGAAAUCCUACAGCUUAACUGUAGAACUGCACUUGAAACUGGUAACCUAGAGUAUGGGAGGGGGAGAUGGAAUUAGUGGUGUAGGGGUAAAAUCCGUAGAUAUCACUAGGAAUACCUAAAGCGAAGGCGAUCUCCUGGAACAUAACUGACGCUAAGGCGUGAAAGCGUGGGGAGCAAACAGGAUUAGAUACCCGCGUAGUC
rnacentral:rRNA from 1 species